rnacentral:rRNA from 1 species
CCUACGGGAGGCAGCAGUGGGGAAUAUUGGGCAAUGGGCGCAAGCCUGACCCAGCAACGCCGCGUGAAGGAAGAAGGCUUUCGGGUUGUAAACUUCUUUUCUCAGGGACGAAGAAAGUGACGGUACCUCAGGAUUAAGCCACGGCUAUCUACGUGCCAGCAGCCGCGGUAAUACGUAGGUGGCAAGCGUUAUCCGGAUUGAGUGGGUGUAAAGGUCGUGUAGGCGGGAUGGCAAGUCAGAUGUGAAAACUCAGGGCUCAACCCUGAGCCUGCAUUUGAAACUGUGUUUCUUGAGUGCUGGAGAGGCAAGCGGAAUUCCGGGUGUAGCGGUGAAAUGCGUAGAUAUACGGAGGAACACCAGUGGCGAAGGCGGAUUGCUAGACAGUAACUGACGCUGAGGCGCGAAAGCGUGGGGAGCAAACAGGAUUAGAUACCCUUGUAGUC